AAUAGUCGAAAGCUAGUUUUGUUAGCUACACGUUUGUUGUUUACAUUGUUAUGCAGUCAGUUUGUUACAUGUAUGUUUGUUUACAGUAAAUGUUUUUUUUUACAUGUAUGUAUGUCAGUGUCCACCUAUGUUUGUACCGUACAUGUUGGUUUGUUUAAUGCAGUAUGCAGUGACAGUAUGUUUGUUUCCAGUAAAUGUUUUUUUUUUUACAUGUAUGUAUGUCAGUGUACACGUAUGUUUGUUUACCGUACAUGUGCGUUUGUUUCCAUGUAUGUAUGUCGUGUACAUGUAUGUUUGUUUACAGUACAUGUUGGUUGUUUACAUGUAUAGUCGGUACAUGUAUGUUUCGUUCACAGACAUGUUGGUUUGUUUACAUUCUGUAUUGUACCUGUCUUUUUGUGUACAGUACAUGUGGUUGUUUUACAUGUUAUGUUAGUGUACAUGAUGCUUUGUUUACAGUACAUGUUGGUUGUUACAUGUCUGUAUGUCCGUGUACAUGUAUGUUUGUUUACCGUACAUUGUUGGUUGUUACAUGUAUGUUAGUGUACACUGUAUGUUUGUUUACAGUACAGGUUGGUUUGUUACAUGUAUGUUAGUGUACAUGUAUGCUUGUUACAGUACAUGUUGGUUUGUUACAUGUAUGUUAGGUACACAUAUGGUUUGUUUACCGUACAUGUUGGUUUAAUAUAUGUUAUUUCAGUUUACAUGUAUGUUUGUUUACAGUACAUGUUGGUUUGUUUACAUGUGUGUAUGUCAGUUACACGUAUGUUUGUAACAGUCAUGUGGUUUUUCCCUGUCUGUUAUGUACACAUAGUUUGUUACCACUUGUUUAAAUGUAUGCUUACAUGCAGUUCAGUUUCACAUUUCAGCCCUGUGACCCCUAGAACAUAUUAGCCCUGUUGACCCCUAUAAAUCUCAGCCUGUUGACCCCUAGAACAUAUUAGCCCUUUGACCCCCUAGAAAUAUCAGCCUUGUUGGCCCCUAGAACAUAUCCGCCCCUGUUGGUCCCAGAAACUAUCAGCCCUGUUGGUCCCUAGAACCUAUCAGGCCCUGUUGGUCCCUAGUAGAACAUAUCAGCCCUGUUGGCCCCUAGAACAUAUCAGCCCUGUGGUCCUAGACACAAAAAACAUCUCCGCCCCUGUUGGUCCCUAGAACAUAUCGCCCUGUGGUCCCUAGAACAUACAGCCCUGUUGCCCCCUAGAAAACAUAUCAGCCCUGUUGGUCCCUAGAACAUAUCAGCCCUGUUGGACAUAUCAGCCCUGUUGGUCCCUAGAACCUAUUCAGCCUGUGGUCCCUAGAACAUAUCAGGCCCUGUUGUCCCUAGAACAUAUCAGCCCUGUUGGUCCCUAAGACCUAUCAGCCCUGUUGGACAUAUCAGCCCUGUUGGUCCCUAGGACC
rnacentral:lncRNA from 1 species